rnacentral:rRNA from 1 species
GCGAACGCUGGCGGCAGGCUUAACACAUGCCAGUCGAGCGGGCACUUCGGUGUCAGCGGCAGACGGGUGAGUAACACGUGGGAACGUACCCUUCGGUUCGGAAUAACGCUGGGAAACUAGCGCUAAUACCGGAUACGCCCUUUUGGGGAAAGGUUUACUGCCGAAGGAUCGGCCCGCGUCUGAUUAGCUAGUUGGUGGGGUAAUGGCCUACCAAGGCGACGAUCAGUAGCUGGUCUGAGAGGAUGAUCAGCCACACUGGGACUGAGACACGGCCCAGACUCCUACGGGAGGCAGCAGUGGGGAAUAUUGGACAAUGGGCGCAAGCCUGAUCCAGCCAUGCCGCGUGAGUGAUGAAGGCCUUAGGGUUGUAAAGCUCUUUUGUCCGGGACGAUAAUGACGGUACCGGAAGAAUAAGCCCCGGCUAACUUCGUG